AGAUAGCACUGACUUCCUUAUCCUUGCCGGUACGUGAAGACGCUCAAUUUGGUACUGUCAUCGCCCUAAUAAGCGUGAACGACCUCGAUUCAGGUGCCAACGGGCAGGUGACCUGCUCCCUGACACCCCACGUCCCCUUCAAGCUGGUGUCCACCUUCAAGAAUUACUACUCAUUGGUGCUGGACAGCGCCCUGGACCGGGAGACAGUGUCGAUGUAUGAGCUGGUGGUGACCGCGCGGGACGGGGGCUCCCCUUCGCUGUGGGCCACGGCCAGCGUGUCCGUGGAGGUGGCCGACGUGAACGACAACGCGCCGGUGUUCGCGCAGCCCGAGUACACGGUGUUCGUGAAAGAGAACAACCCGCCGGGCUGCCACAUCUUCACGGUGUCGGCGAAGGACGCGGACGCGCAGGAGAAUGCGCUGGUGUCCUACUCGCUGGUGGAGCGGCGGGUGGGCGAUCGCGCGCUGUCGAGCUACGUGUCGGUGCACGCGGAGAGCGGCAAGGUGUACGUGCUGCAGCCGCUGGACCACGAGGAGCUGGAGCUGCUGCAGUUCCAGGUGAGCGCACAUGACGCGGGCGUGCCGCCUCUGGGCAGCAACGUGACGCUGCAGAUGUUCGUGCUGGACGAGAACGAUAACGCGCCGGCUCUGCUGGCGCCUCGAGUGGGUGGUACCGGCGGCGCAGUGAGCGAGCUGGUGCCGCGGUCGGUGGGUGAGGGUCAUGUGGUGGCGAAGGUGCGCGCAGUGGACGCCGACUCAGGCUACAACGCGUGGCUUUCUUAUGAGCUGCAGCCAGCGGCAAGCAGCGCGCGCAUCCCGUUUCGCGUGGGGAUGUACACUGGCGAAAUCAGCACGACUCGUGUCCUGGACGAAGCGGACUCUCCGCGCCACCGCCUGCUGGUGUUGGUGAAGGAUCACGGUGAGCCGGCGCUGACCGCCACGGCCACGGUGCUGGUGUCGCUGGUGGAGAGCAGCCAGGCUCCAAAGGCGUCGUCCAGGGCAUUGGCUGGCGCUGUGGGUCCCGAAGCUGCGCUGGUGGAUGUCAACGUGUACCUGAUCAUCGCCAUCUGCGCUGUGUCCAGCCUGCUGGUGCUCACGCUGCUGCUAUACACUGCGUUGCGGUGCUCAGCGCCGCCCAUCGAGGGCGCGGGCCCACCGGGCAAGCCCACUCUCGUGUGCUCCAGUGCGGUGGGGAGCUGGUCGUACUCGCAGCAAAGGCGGCAGAGGGCGUGCUCUGGGGAGGAGGCACCCAAGACGGACCUCAUGGCCUUCAGCCCCAGCCUUCCUCCUGAUCUGGGGUCAGUCGAUGUAGGCGAACAGCAAGGUUUAAAUGUUGCUCAUGGCCUCAAAGUAAGUCCAUUUAAAUUUAGAACUUAUAAAUUCUAUUCGUGGAAAUUGUAAGGACUUUAAAAGUAUUUCAUAUUUAUUUUUCUCCGUAUUUCAUAGUGAAAAUUUAAACAUUGUUUCAGUUUUUAGAAACCUUUUAUAAUUAAUAGAAUUUUUCAGUGACAUAAUACAGUAUUAAUCAUUCUCUACAAGUUGCAUCUAUCUCGAAACUCAAGUUAUGAUUGGAUAAUUUUUUUUUUUACUGAAUAUUUAUUUUGGCCUGCCUUACAGCGGUCUUUUCUGAACAAUACUCUAAUGAGGUCCAGUAUAUUUGGAUCUUUGGUGAGCAUAUUCCCCCAAAGUUGUCCUUAUGCACUGAACUCUUAAUCUUACUCUAUAUGCUGUACUUUGAAAUUUAUGUUUUAAAUAUUAUGUUGUUCUUAUAUUUACUUUUAUUCACUUUAAUAUCUCAGUUUAUUCAUCUUAUUAUCUGACUUUUUAGUGUCUGGCAGUCGCAAAUAUUUUUUGUGUCGCACUAUUGCCAUUUUAGGCAGUGUAGUGAUAAAAUAUAGAAUAAUAGUGGUUUUCAAAAUUUGAUAUUUUCUAUUCUUCCUAAUUUUAUUAUAAACUAGCUAAAAAGCAAAAUCAAAGAAGGAGCAGAUUUGUAAUGCUUCUUUUAAUUAAUUGUUAUUUAGACCAUUUUACUAUUUGGAGACAUGUUUUUCAUUCUACAUGAAUUUUUACAGUCGUGUUGUCAACAACUUAACAGUUUUUUGAGCCUUUAUGUUGAGAAAAUGAUGACUUUAGUCUGGGAAGUAUCGUCUAAACUCUAAUAAUUCAAUUCAUUGUUGGCGAGUUGGAAUAUUACCAGUAAUAUUUCACAUUAAAGUAAUAUUUGAUAUAUGACUUAAAAAAUAUUUUCAUGAGAAAAACUAUACAUGGUAAUUCCAUUCUUGCAAACUAGUCAUAUAAUUUAUAAAUCUUUAUUAUACAGAAUAUUUGGGAUUGUCAUGGCCCAUUAGUUCAUGUAAAAACAUUUAGCAUUAUAGGACAAAUCUUUGAAAAAUCCAAGAUACUUUACUUUGGCGUCUUUCAACCUUUUCUUUCUUUUUGUUCUUCUUGUCUUUUUGCCUUUGCUUCUUGUGACUGUUUGACUUGCGUUGAUAUUAAAUACCCAUUAGACUGAGCAUAUUGCUUUGGAGGGGAUGGUGGAACUUGAUGGAAGGGAAUGAAGGAUUUCUGGGACUCUGAAUUCUUAUAGUUUGUUAUCAGUGUCGUUUUAAACUUUUUAAUCACUUAUGAACCAGUAAUGUAAUCAUUUAUGAGCAUAUUUUAUCCCCCUUGUCCAAGUGAAGGUAGCCUCAAAGCAGAAUUAUUUUGUAGUUGAUUUUACAGUUCUCCUAAUGCCUGUCCAUGCUUAGCAUUUUAUUUGACUGUUAGAGCACAUUAUAUAACAACAAAUUGUUUACAUUUUAGUCCUUUAAGGACUUAAAAAAUUAUGCUUGCCGGGCAUAGUGGCUCACGCCUGUA